AUCCCUACAGUCUUCUUGGGAUUUAAGUCCAGGUGGUUCUGACUACACCAUUGGACUAGGUGUUCGACCUCCUGUCUGUAAGCAGACUCAUCACCAUCCUGGAACAAACCAAUGACGGUGGUGUCAUCUGCAAACUUCACGAGUUCUUUGAAGUGCAGUCAUUAGUGUAC